CGAAAUGCGAUACUUGGUGUGAAUUGCAGAAUCCCGUGAACCAUCGAGUUUUUGAACGCAAGUUGCGCCCGAGAACUUUAGGUUGAGGGCACGUCUGCCUGGGCGUCACAUACAGCGUCG
rnacentral:rRNA from 1 species